UUAAGUUAUUAAGGGCGCACGGUGGAUGCCUUGGCACUAGAAGCCGAUGAAGGACGUUACUAACGACGAUAUGCUUUGGGGAGCUGUAAGUAAGCUUUGAUCCAGAGAUUUCCGAAUGGGGAAACCCAGCAUGAGUUAUGUCAUGUUAUCGAUAUGUGAAUACAUAGCAUAUCAGAAGGCACACCCGGAGAACUGAAACAUCUUAGUACCCGGAGGAAGAGAAAGAAAAUUCGAUUCCCUUAGUAGCGGCGAGCGAAACGGGAAGAGCCCAAACCAACAAGCUUGCUUGUUGGGGUUGUAGGACACUCUAUACGGAGUUACAAAGGACGACAUUAGACGAAUCAUCUGGAAAGAUGAAUCAAAGAAGGUAAUAAUCCUGUAGUCGAAAAUGUUGUCUCUCUUGAGUGGAUCCUGAGUACGACGGAGCACGUGAAAUUCCGUCGGAAUCUGGGAGGACCAUCUCCUAAGGCUAAAUACUCUCUAGUGACCGAUAGUGAACCAGUACCGUGAGGGAAAGGUGAAAAGCACCCCGGAAGGGGAGUGAAAUAGAACCUGAAACCGUGUGCUUACAAGUAGUCAGAGCCCGUUAAUGGGUGAUGGCGUGCCUUUUGUAGAAUGAACCGGCGAGUUACGAUUUGAUGCAAGGUUAAGCAGUAAAUGUGGAGCCGUAGCGAAAGCGAGUCUGAAUAGGGCGUUUAGUAUUUGGUCGUAGACCCGAAACCAGGUGAUCUACCCUUGGUCAGGUUGAAGUUCAGGUAACACUGAAUGGAGGACCGAACCGACUUACGUUGAAAAGUGAGCGGAUGAACUGAGGGUAGCGGAGAAAUUCCAAUCGAACCUGGAGAUAGCUGGUUCUCUCCGAAAUAGCUUUAGGGCUAGCCUCAAGUGAUGAUUAUUGGAGGUAGAGCACUGUUUGGACGAGGGGCCCCUCUCGGGUUACCGAAUUCAGACAAACUCCGAAUGCCAAUUAAUUUAACUUGGGAGUCAGAACGUGGGUGAUAAGGUCCGUGUUCGAAAGGGAAACAGCCCAGACCACCAGCUAAGGUCCCAAAAUAUAUGUUAAGUGGAAAAGGAUGUGGCGUUGCCCAGACAACUAGGAUGUUGGCUUAGAAGCAGCCAUCAUUUAAAGAGUGCGUAAUAGCUCACUAGUCGAGUGACACUGCGCCGAAAAUGUACCGGGGCUAAACAUAUUACCGAAGCUGUGGAUUGUCCUUUGGACAAUGGUAGGAGAGCGUUCUAAGGGCGUUGAAGCAUGAUCGUAAGGACAUGUGGAGCGCUUAGAAGUGAGAAUGCCGGUGUGAGUAGCGAAAGACGGGUGAGAAUCCCGUCCACCGAUUGACUAAGGUUUCCAGAGGAAGGCUCGUCCGCUCUGGGUUAGUCGGGUCCUAAGCUGAGGCCGACAGGCGUAGGCGAUGGAUAACAGGUUGAUAUUCCUGUACCACCUAUAAUCGUUUUAAUCGAUGGGGGGACGCAGUAGGAUAGGCGAAGCGUGCGAUUGGAUUGCACGUCUAAGCAGUAAGGCUGAGUAUUAGGCAAAUCCGGUACUCAUUAAGGCUGAGCUGUGAUGGGGAGAAGACAUUGUGUCUUCGAGUCGUUGAUUUCACACUGCCGAGAAAAGCCUCUAGAUAGAAAAUAGGUGCCCGUACCGCAAACCGACACAGGUAGUCAAGAUGAGAAUUCUAAGGUGAGCGAGCGAACUCUCGUUAAGGAACUCGGCAAAAUGACCCCGUAACUUCGGGAGAAGGGGUGCUCUUUAGGGUUAACGCCCAGAAGAGCCGCAGUGAAUAGGCCCAAGCGACUGUUUAUCAAAAACACAGGUCUCUGCUAAACCGUAAGGUGAUGUAUAGGGGCUGACGCCUGCCCGGUGCUGGAAGGUUAAGAGGAGUGGUUAGCUUCUGCGAAGCUACGAAUCGAAGCCCCAGUAAACGGCGGCCGUAACUAUAACGGUCCUAAGGUAGCGAAAUUCCUUGUCGGGUAAGUUCCGACCCGCACGAAAGGCGUAACGAUUUGGGCACUGUCUCAACGAGAGACUCGGUGAAAUCAUAGUACCUGUGAAGAUGCAGGUUACCCGCGACAGGACGGAAAGACCCCGUGGAGCUUUACUGUAGCCUGAUAUUGAAAUUCGGCACAGCUUGUACAGGAUAGGUAGGAGCCUUUGAAACGUGAGCGCUAGCUUACGUGGAGGCGCUGGUGGGAUACUACCCUAGCUGUGUUGGCUUUCUAACCCGCACCACUUAUCGUGGUGGGAGACAGUGUCAGGCGGGCAGUUUGACUGGGGCGGUCGCCUCCUAAAAGGUAACGGAGGCGCUCAAAGGUUCCCUCAGAAUGGUUGGAAAUCAUUCAUAGAGUGUAAAGGCAUAAGGGAGCUUGACUGCGAGACCUACAAGUCGAGCAGGGUCGAAAGACGGACUUAGUGAUCCGGUGGUUCCGCAUGGAAGGGCCAUCGCUCAACGGAUAAAAGCUACCCCGGGGAUAACAGGCUUAUCUCCCCCAAGAGUUCACAUCGACGGGGAGGUUUGGCACCUCGAUGUCGGCUCAUCGCAUCCUGGGGCUGUAGUCGGUCCCAAGGGUUGGGCUGUUCGCCCAUUAAAGCGGUACGCGAGCUGGGUUCAGAACGUCGUGAGACAGUUCGGUCCCUAUCCGUCGUGGGCGUAGGAAAUUUGAGAGGAGCUGUCCUUAGUACGAGAGGACCGGGAUGGACAUACCUCUGGUGUACCAGUUGUCGUGCCAACGGCAUAGCUGGGUAGCUAUGUGUGGACGGGAUAAGUGCUGAAAGCAUCUAAGCAUGAAGCCCCCCUCAAGAUGAGAUUUCCCAACUUCGGUUAUAAGAUCCCUCAAAGAUGAUGAGGUUAAUAGGUUCGAGGUGGAAGCAUGGUGACAUGUGGAGCUGACGAAUACUAAUCGAUCGAAGACUUAAUCAA
rnacentral:rRNA from 1 species